GCUGGCAGGUGGGAGGACUGCCCCAAACGCCUGCCUUGGAUCUGAAGAGGCUGCUGAACACGCCUGAAGGAAGGAACCAGACGGGAGUCUCAACCCCGCCUCCCACCCCUCAAAGGGCCUCUAAAUUGCCUCAGUUAAGGCUGAGCAUCCUGGCAACAAAGACCUGGUUAUUGUCAUCUCCGUAUCCCCAGUGACUAGUGCAGUGGAGAGCACAUGGCAGACAUUCAAGGUGCACUUUCAUGCUAGGCGCAGCCAUGACCUCCACUCUGGAAACAAGCGACAGUACAGGAAGGCAGUGCCCCGAGCGAGCCUGCUCCACACCACACCCUGCUGACAGCUGAGCUCCAGAGUGCUUGGGCCCCAUAAAGCAGUGAAAGUCUCGGCUAAAAAGAGUGGGUUAAACUUACCAAUUUCACUCACAGAGAACUAAAACGUCAUGUUUGAGGCUGGUUUUCCAUAA